UACGGGGGGGGCAAGCGUUGUUCGGAAUUACUGGGCGUAAAGGGCUCGUAGGCGGCCAACUAAGUCAGACGUGAAAUCCCCAGGCUUAACCGGGGAACUGCGUCUGAUACUGGAUGGCUUGAAUCCGGGAGAGGGAUGCGGAAUUCCAGGUGUAGCGGUGAAAUGCGUAGAUAUCAGGAGGAACACCAGUGGCGAAGGCGGUGCUCUGGGCCGGAACUGACGCUGAGGAGCGAAAGCGUGGGGAGCAAACAGG
rnacentral:rRNA from 1 species